UCCUACGGGGGGCAGCAGUGGGGAAUAUUGCACAAUGGGGGAAACCCUGAUGCAGCGACGCCGCGUGAGCGAAGAAGUACCUCGGUAUGUAAAGCUCUAUCAGCAGGGAAGAAGAUGACGGUACCUGACCAAGAAGCUCCGGCUAAAUACGUGCCAGCAGCCGCGGUAAUACGUAUGGAGUAAGCGUUAUCCGGAUUUACUGGGUGUAAAGGGAGCGCAGGCGGCCUUGCAAGUCUGAUGUGAAA
rnacentral:rRNA from 1 species